UACGUAGGGGCCAAGCGUUGUCCGGAUUUAUUGGGCGUAAAGAGCUCGUAGGCGGUUGGGUAAGUCGGGUGUGAAAACUCCAGGCUCAACUUGGAGAUGCCACCCGAUACUGCUCUGACUUGAGCUCGGUAGGGGAGUGGGGAAUUCCUGGUGUAGCGGUGGAAUGCGCAGAUAUCAGGAGGAACACCGGUGGCGAAGGCGGGUCUCUGGACAGUUCCUGACGCUGAGGCGCGAAGGCCAGGGGAGCAAACGGG
rnacentral:rRNA from 1 species